rnacentral:rRNA from 1 species
UACGUAGGGUGCGAGCGUUGUCCGGAAUUAUUGGGCGUAAAGAGCUCGUAGGUGGUUUGUCGCGUUGUUCGUGAAAACUCACAGCUUAACUGUGGGCGUGCGGGCGAUACGGGCAGACUGGAGUACUGCAGGGGAGACUGGAAUUCCUGGUGUAGCGGUGAAAUGCGCAGAUAUCAGGAAGAACACCAAUGGCGAAGGCAGCUCUCUGGGACGGUACUGACGCUGAGACGCGAAAGCGUGGGGAGCGAACAGG